rnacentral:sRNA from 1 species
ACUCAACACUAACAAAUUAAAAUGAGCGAAUCGUCAUUACUAAAGCAAACUGCCUUUGAGCAGGUCCUUGAACAGUGAGUUAGCUCAAAACUUGUCAAUACGAGUUU